rnacentral:rRNA from 1 species
AUGCAAGUGGAGAUGGUGCACACCAUGUCCCUCGUGCACGACGACCUCCCCUGCAUGGAGGACGACCAUCUCCGCCGCGGCAAGCCCACUUGCCACAUCGUGUACGGCGAACCCAUCGCCGCGCUCACUUGUGAUUCCCUGCUUGCGCUCGCCUUCCAGCAUAUGGCCAGCGUCAACUCCUAUCCUCCGGACAUCGAUCCUGACAAGCACACCGCUCGAGUUGUCUGCGUCAUUGAUGAGCUCGCACGCUGCAUCGGAUCAGAGGGCCUCGUCGCUGGCCAGGUCAGCAGAUUGAUCUAUUCGGAUUUUGUCACCCAAAUAGUACAACUGGUUAUGGGUGCAAUCAUUGGAGGUGGCUCGGAUGACCAGAUUGAGAGGCUGCGGAAGUAUUCAUCUGAGGAGCUAGGGAAGACAGCAGGGAAGGAUUCUGCGAGUGACAAGACGACAUACCAAAACUUACUAGGGUUGGAGAAAUCAUGGGAGUUUGCAGAAAACUUGCUCUGUGAUGCAAAGGAGCAACUUGCUGAUUUCGACAAACACAAGGCAGCACCACUAUUGUCUUUGGCCGAUUAUAUUGCCUAUCGGCAGAACUAA